rnacentral:rRNA from 1 species
GGGUUAAGUCCCGUAACGAGCGCAACCCUUGUCCUUAGUUACCAGCACGUAAUGGUGGGCACUCUAAGGAGACUGCCGGUGACAAACCGGAGGAAGGUGGGGAUGACGUCAAGUCAUCAUGGCCCUUACGGCCUGGGCUACACACGUGCUACAAUGGUCGGUACAAAGGGUUGCCAAGCCGCGAGGUGGAGCUAAUCCCAUAAAACCGAUCGUAGUCCGGAUCGCAGUCUGCAACUCGACUGCGUGAAGUCGGAAUCGCUA